rnacentral:rRNA from 1 species
GACGAACGCUGGCGGCGUGCUUAACACAUGCAAGUCGAACGGAAAGGCCCUGCUUGCAGGGUACUCGAGUGGCGAACGGGUGAGUAACACGUGGGUGAUCUGCCCUGCACUUCGGGAUAAGCCUGGGAAACUGGGUCUAAUACCGGAUAGGAGCCAUUUUUAGUGUGAUGGUUGGAAAGUUUUUUCGGUGUAGGAUGAGCUCGCGGCCUAUCAGCUUGUUGGUGGGGUAAUGGCCUACCAAGGCGGCGACGGGUAGCCGGCCUGAGAGGGUGGACGGCCACAUUGGGACUGAGAGACGGCCCAGACUCCUACGGGAGGCAGCAGGGGGGAAUAUUGCACAAUGGGCGCAAGCCUGAUGCAGCGACGCCGCGUGGGGGAUGACGGCCUUCGGGUUGUAAACCCCUUUCGCUAGGGACGAAGCUUUUUGUGACGGUACCUAGAGAAGAAGCACCGGCUAACUACGUG